rnacentral:rRNA from 1 species
GACGAACGCUGGCGGCGUGCCUAAUACAUGCAAGUUGAGCGCUGAAGGUUGGUACUUGUACCAACUGGAUGAGCAGCGAACGGGUGAGUAACGCGUGGGGAAUCUGCCUUUGAGCGGGGGACAACAUUUGGAAACGAAUGCUAAUACCGCAUAAAAACUUUAAACACAAGUUUUAAGUUUGAAAGAUGCAAUUGCAUCACUCAAAGAUGAUCCCGCGUUGUAUUAGCUAGUUGGUGAGGUAAAGGCUCACCAAGGCGAUGAUACAUAGCCGACCUGAGAGGGUGAUCGGCCAAAUUGGGACUGAGACACGGCCCAAACUCCUACGGGAGGCAGCAGUAGGGAAUCUUCGGCAAUGGACGGAAGUCUGACCGAGCAACGCCGCGUGAGUGAAGAAGGUUGUCGGAUCGUAAAACUCUGUUGGUAGGGAAGAACGUUGGUGAGAGUGGAAAGCUCAUCAAGUGACGGUAACUACCCAGAAAGGGACGGCUAACUACGUG